GCCUCACUAAAAGAAGUUGUGUAAUAUUUUCCCUAAAUAUCACAAUGAAUCAAAUCAAAAAGAGUAAUGGAUUUUUUAUUACUCAAAGGGAAAUGAAAAUGGGUUUGUUUAGCAAGAGGGCAAACUUCACAUAUUCGAGCUUCAACAAAGGAUUUAGACUAGAAAUGUAUUUGGAAAAUAAUUUGAAAUGACUAAAACAAAGGUGUCCUAAACAUUGAUACCACAAGGUAGGAUUUGAAGAAGACGUGUCUUGAGAACAUCUAGGUGUAUUAGGAAAUGGCUUCACAACAAAGAGGCCACCAUUUAAUCUACCCGCUCCAAUUGUCUUCUUCAAGGACUGGUCCUAUAUAAGACAAGAAUCAACAUAAAAAAACAAUCAUACAAUUGGCAUCUUGGAUUAUUUUUGCAACAGAUAUAAGUUGACAUUAAACUUGGCACACAUAACAUAUUUUUUAAAACAGUAUUGAAAGUUAAAUAAAUGAUUCCAAUGUGAGUUAUGGAUUGUUUUGAACCAUUUGGUUAUUGAACACUUUUAGAGCAGUGUGAGGUGAUAAAAGAAAGUAAUGAAGGAGAAGACGCUAUGUGUUCAGUUGCACCAUAAUCAACAAUCCAAGAAAUGGAGUUUGGAAGGGAAAUGACAUUUAAAGCAAUACUUGAUAGAUUACUGUGGAAGGGUGUUACCUACAAAGUUUGAAUGAGAACUUAUUAAGGUUAAAAUUUGUUGGCAUUGCUCUAGAGUGAAGGGAAAAGCCUAAGGGAUGGACAUGAUAGCAAAAACUUGGUUGGUUGAUGCUUGAUUUGGAAGGGACUAAUUUUGUUGCUUUGGUCCUUUGUAGAGCUUGUGGCCCAGAGGGUACCCAUGUACCUUGUAACAUUUUUCUUUAACAUAUCCUUGCUUCCCAUGACAAUUACAACUUAGUUUUGAGUUGCCUGAGUCAUUUUGCUUCCUGGGUUUUCUUUAAUAGUUAUUUCUUUUCACAAUGAGCACAGUGUUGUCUCUUGACUAUGGUGGUGCCCCUGAGAUUCUCCAUUGCCUCUCUUCUUAUCAUGCCUAUAACAAUCAUCUUGAUGGAAUUCGAAUAGAGGAAAUGAAGGUUUAUAUAUUUAUUUCUAAAAUUUCACCUUUUUUUUUUUUACAUUUCUAUAUUAGUGAUAAUAUUGCUCAAGGUCUCUUGCAAACACAAUAAACCUUAGAAUAGAAUUGGAAUGAUAUGCAUAACAAUACAAAAAUGAGCCUUUUAUUUGAUUAAAAAAAAAGGUUAAUGAUGGAUUUUAAGCAAGGCAAACAAGUUGGUAUAUUUUAGGGGCAUUUAUAAUGACCUGCUCCGAAAGGAGUCUACUAGGAAAUAGUGAGCACACUCCCAAUUACAAUCUAAAGUAGAAUGUCGCAUCAACAAAUGAAUAUAGAGCAAGAAUAUAAUAAAAACUAAAUGAUUUUGAUACGGCAACAACUGGUAGAUAAAUUGCUAGUAGAAGCAAUGGUUGCAGGAUGCCACAUCGCAGAGCAUAACUAAAUUGGAACUAAAAAUACAUAAAGGAAAUGACACUACAUCUCCCAAAAGUUUUGGUAAGGAAAAACAUUGGAGCUAGGUUUCCAUCUAAUUACUCUCUAAAGAUGAUUCUCUCUCUUCAAUAGACACAUGACUUCACAUGAAAAAUAUCAAAAUCUAUGGGAUGAACACAAGGUAUAAUGAAUUGUUACAAUAUUCAAGCAUUAGGAUGGUAAGUCCACUUAAAACUAGUCAAAAACAUAUUAUAUAACAAUUUUGGUAUACAAAAACUACCAUAAUGUAAUAAUAAUAGAAUUUAAAGAUUAUAUGAGAUGUAAAAUAUGUACUGAAAAGUUUGAAAAUACUGUAGUUAAACCAUUGACUAUAAAUAAACCUACUAUCCAAGAAACAUGCACCAUAUCUAUAUGGUCUUCAAAGUCUCACUACCUCAAAUCACAAUACUAGGGAUGUCAUCUCCUACUUAUCCCAUUAGGCAUAAGAGAGCAUACUCUGCCACUUUAGACUCUACCCUCUAGCUUGACAUUAGAACUCAUAGCUGCAUGAAACCCCAGGUGCAUUUGUUAUCAUGACCAUUAAAUAUCAAUGUCCAAAAGUUUAACAAUUUAUUAAUAUCAUAACAAGAUAUGUAAUUUCAUUGAUUCUAAACAUACACAAGGUAUUCAAUAAUCGCUUGAAGAUAAAUUAGUAUUCAUUUUUGCAAACUUAGCAUAAUACAUAUGCAUUAACUAAAUAACAGUUCAACAUGUAUCUCAUUUUAUUAGUAAAACUAAACAAGUAAUAUAUAACAUAUGUAAAAAUAUUCAUUUUAUGAAAAAUUUAGUAAAAUUACAUAUGUUGUAUAACUACUAACAAAAAUCUUGGUAAAAAACUACAAUGGAAUUUGCAAUAUGAGCCUCCUUAAACUUUGGAUUCUUCUAGAACAAAUGAAAAGUUAAAUGAAUAAGAAAGAUUUUGAAAUUUAGUAAAAAUAGAAACAAAGGUUCUAAGGCCUUGCUAAUCUAAUUCGAUUCAAAUUACAUCUAAAAUUGAAAUCUAUAAAAUUUAUAAAAGUAACCAUCUAGGAAAUAAAGUUGAACUUGAAUGAAACUUGAGCUAAUGAGACACUAUACAAAUUUAGAUAAUUCAAAAUUUGAUAACUAGGUCAAAUUUGAUUCUAAAUUUACCCAAAAUAUAGAGUAUAUUCAAAUACUACUCAUUUCUUGGAUUUUCCACUCUAAUCAAACAAGUUCCAAAAGUUACUAAGCUCUCCAAAUAUACUUCAUGAUAAGCUUAUAAAAUCAUAAUUAAAAUAAUUUAUAAACUAGUAACAAAAUAAAAUAAUGCCAAAAUCCCCAGAAUCCAAAACUGUCUCAGCACAUACUACCGAAAAUCUAUUGAUAUUUACCAAACUCUUUUUCUAAAUUGACUAAGAAUCAAGUGAGAUUGAACUCGUUAGUCUCAUGUUUUAAGUUUACUAACAUAUAAAAAUAACAAGGGGUCAAGAUGCUUGAGUUAAAUAUCCAAGAAUUUUGAGAAAGACCAGUGGUUUAAAUCUGCCUUGGUUGAAUUUUGCACUAGGUUAUCAUCAUCCAAAUGAAAUGAAACUUAUGCUGUUAGAUUUCUUUGAGAGUAUUAUUUUGUAAGAAUAAGUCAGGGAUUGAAAAAUCGAGAGAUGUCGCCGAUAUUUCGGAGAAAUGUCGCCGAUAUUUCGGAGAAAUAUCGGAUAUCGGACGGGCGCCGAAACGAUAAUCGUCACCGAUUAUCGAUCGACGGAAAAAUCGACAAAAAAUCGGAAAAAUCGCCGAUAUAUCGGUGAAGCACCGAUUUAUCGGAGAAAAAUCGCGAGUGAAUCUGACGCGCGGAGCAACCGGAGGAGAAUUUUAAAAAAUCGUCGAAAAUAUCGCCGAUAUUUCGGUAUUUUUACCGAUUUUUCGGAAAAUUUCCCGAUAUUUUCCUACCAGUCCAGCCCGCGCACAGGAUACAAAAUCUGGCUCAAAAAUCGUGGAUUUAGGGUUCGUGAAAUUUAAAUACAAUGGCACAACAGCAAAGAAACCCUUAAAACAGAUCCAGAAAACACAGGGAGCAAAAGAAAAGCAAAUUUUUUGGUUUUCUUUGGGGGUUUUGAAUGGAUUUUCUCGGAAAUCAAACGAGAAUGAAUUUUCCCGGAAAUCAAAUGGGGGAUGGAUUUUCUUGGGAAUCAAACGGGGGUUGCAAAAAAAAUAAUAUCAACGUGAUUAGAUUAGUACCUGCGAGGAUUGAGAGUGGCAGAGGAAGAUAGGUUUUUUUAGGAACUCUCUCGGCUGGAGGGCAGCUUCAGAAAAGGGGAAAGGGGAAUUCUCUUGGCUGGAGGGC
rnacentral:lncRNA from 1 species